GUCUCUGGAGUUGCAAGCAGUUAAAAUACUCAGCUGCUAACUGAAAGGUUGGAGGUUCGAGUCCACCCAGAGGCA
rnacentral:tRNA from 1 species